rnacentral:lncRNA from 1 species
CUGUAUGUAUACACAUGGAUGUAUAACCAAUGUGAUUCUGCAAUCUGUACACGUGGAAAAAUGAGAAUUCAUACAGCAUUUGAAUCAAAUGUAUGAUAUAUCAAGAUCAUUGUAUUGUCUUGAGCAACUAAUAAAAAAAAAACACCCAGUUUAAAAAAAAAGAGUGGGGCUGAAAAAUCUAAUAGAAUCUGCUUGUACCUCUACUGAAAAUUCUAUAGAAUAUAGUGAUCAUGAGUUCUAGUUUCUUGCUGUAUGACCUCAGGCAAGUUAUGUGUUCCUCCACACUUCAGUUUUUAUCUGCCAAAUGGCGUUAGUAACAGCCCUCACCUCAAUGGGGUUUUGCAUAGAUUCCAUGUGAUGAUGCCUCCAAUGCUCCUAUACAGGGCUUGGCAUAUGUAAUAUUCAAAAAG